UACGUAGGGUGCGAGCGUUAAUCGGAAUUACUGGGCGUAAAGCGUGCGCAGGCGGUUGUGCAAGACAGAUGUGAAAUCCCCGGGCUUAACCUGGGAACUGCAUUUGUGACUGCACGGCUAGAGUGUGUCAGAGGGGGGGUAGAAUUCCACGUGUAGCAGUGAAAUGCGUAGAUAUGUGGAGGAAUACCGAUGGCGAAAGGCAGCCCCCCUGGGAUAACACUGACGCUCAUGCACGAAAGCGUGGGGGAGCAAAACAGGG
rnacentral:rRNA from 1 species